rnacentral:tRNA from 1 species
GCCGCGGUGGUGGAAUGGUAUACACGAGGGACUUAAAAUCCCUUGGAGCUUGCUCCAUGCGGGUUCAAGUCCCGCCCGCGGCACCA